UGGCUACUGUGCCAGCUGGUGGAUAGCUCGGCUCGAGAGCCGAUGACGGACGUGCCAAGCUGCGAUAAGCCUCAGGGACCCGCAUGGAGGGAAAGAACUGAGGAUCUCCGAAUGGGAAUCCCCACGCAAUUGCCUCGCGCAAUGGGGAACGUUCCGAAUUGAAACAUCUUAGUAGGAACAGGAAAAGAAAGCAAUCCGCGAUGUCGUUAGUAACGGCGAGUAAACGCGACACAGUCCAAACCGAAGCCUUCGGGCAAUGUGGUGUACGGACUACCCAUAACGGACCUGGGUCUUAUGUGAAGUCUCCUGGAACGGAGCGUGAUACAGGGUGAAAACCCCGUAACAUAAGAACCAGAUCCCGGGGUUGUUCCAGAAUAGCGGGGGUUGGAUAUCCCUCGUGAAUUUCGCAGGCAUCAACUGCGAAGACUAAACACUCCUCGAGACCGAUAGCGAACAAGUAGCGUGAGCGAACGCUGAAAAGCACCCCGAACAGGGCGGUGCAAUAGGGCUUGAAAUCAGUUGGCGAUAGAGCGACGUGGCAUACAAGGUCACUCGACGAAAGAACUGGGAGCGAUCCCGUAGUAUGACUCGAGUGAAGCCGAUGUUACGUCGUACGUUUUGAAAAACGAACCAUGGAGUGCAUCUGACUGGCGAGUCUAAGGGGUGAACCCCCGGAGGCAUAGGGAAACCGAUACGGCCGCAGUCUUUGACCAGGGCCACCGUCUUCAAGGGCGGGGAGCCAACCGGAUGCGACCCGAAACCAAGUGAUCUACGCCGGAGCAGGGCGAAGCGUGGCGAAAGCUGCGUGGAGGCCCGUUAGAGUUGGUGUCCUACAAUACCCUCUCGUGACUCUGGUGUAGGGGNCCGGAGCAGGGCGAAGCGUGGCGAAAGCUGCGUGGAGGCCCGUUAGAGUUGGUGUCCUACAAUACCCUCUCGUGACUCUGGUGUAGGGGUGAAAGGCCCAUCGAACUUGGCAACAGCUGGUUCCAACCGAAACAUGUCGAAGCAUGACCUCUGAUGAGAUAGUUCGUGAGGUAGAGCGACCGAUUGGGAAUCCGGACUCCGAGAGGAGUUCGCUUCCCUGUCAAACUCCGAACUUACGAACGUCGUAGACUCAGGGAGUCCGGUGUGCGGGGUAAGCUUGUGCACCGUGAGGGAGACAACCCAGAGCCAGGUUAAGGACCCAAAGUGUGGAUUAAGUGUGAUUGAAGAUUGUCUCGAGCCCUAAACAGCCGGGAGGUGAGCUUAGAAGCAGCUACCCUCUAAGAAUAGCGUAACAGCUUACCGGCCGAGGUUCGAGGCGUCGAAAAUGAUCGGGACUCAAAUCCACCUCCGAGACCUGGCGGCGUGUCUUAUGACACGAUUCCGUAGGUUGGCAUACUGCAUGGGUGGAAGCACGGGUGAGAACUCGUGUGGACCGUGCAGCAACGAAAAUCAUGGUCUCAGUAGCAGCGAGAGUCGGGUGUGAACCCCGACGGCCUUACGCGCAAGGGUUCCUCGGCACUGUCAAUCAGCCGAGGGUUAGUCGAUCCUAAGUCUAACCGUAAUUCGAAUUAGAUGAAAGGGAAACUGGUUAAUAUUCCAGUACCUUCUUGCACCAAACGUCGACGCUUUAGGAAACACCGAGCGGGGCCUUCGCCCCGUCGAAUCACCGAAAUUCGUGGAAGCCGUAACGGCACGAAGCGAACGAACGGUGAGAUAGGGAAACUCGGCGGUACCUAGAGCCCGUGAAAAGACAAGCAAGAAGCUCGUACCGAGAUCCGACACAGGUGCGCUGGCAGAGCAAGCCAAGGCCUGUCGGGAUCAACCGACGUUAGGGAAUUCGGCAAGUUAGUCCCGUAAGUUCGCGAUAAGGGAUGCCUGCUCUUGACCGAGCAGGUCGCAGUGACUCGGACGCUCCGACUGUCUAGUAACAACAUAGGUGACCGCAAAUCCGCAAGGACUCGUACGGUCACUGAAUCCUGCCCAGUGCGGGUAUCUGAACACCCAUUACAAUGGGACGAAGGACCCGUCAACGGCGGGGGUAACUAUGACCCUCUUAAGGUAGCGUAGUACCUUGCCGCUUCAGUAGCGGCUUGCAUGAAUGGAUCAACGAGAGCGUCACUGUCCCAACGUUGGGCCCGGUGAACAGUACGUUCCAGUGCGGAGUCUGGAGACCCCCAAGGGGAAGCGAAGACCCUAUAGAGCUUUACUGCAGGCUGUCGCUGAGACGUGGUCGCUAAUGUGCAGCAUAGGUAGGAGCCAUUACACAGGUACCCGCGCCAGCGGGCCACCGAGGCAGCAUUGAAAUACUACCCGUUAGUGACUGCGACUCUCACUCCUGGCGGAGGACACCGGUAGCCGGGCAGUUUGACUGGGGCGGUACGCGCUCGAAAAGAUAUCGAGCGCGCCCAAAGAUUUCCUCACGCGAGUCGGGAACUCGUGGAAGAGCGCAAGAGCAAACGGAAGUCUGACAGUGACAUUCCCAACGAGUGUCGCUGACGCGAAAGCGUGGUCUAGCGAACCUACGAGGUUCAUUCAUGGGACCCGUAGAUGACAGAAAAGCUACCUUAGGGAUAACAGAGUCGUCACCGGCAAGAGCACAUAUCGACCCGGUGGCUUGCUACCUCGAUGUCGGUUCCCUCCAUCCUGCCUGUGCAGAAGCAGGCAAGGGUGAGGUUGUUCGCCUAUUAAAGGAGGUCGUGAGCUGGGUUUAGACCGUCGUGAGACAGGUCGGCUGCUAUCUAUUGGGGGUGUUAAGGAACUUGACGUGAACGUUCGUAUAGUACGAGAGGAACUACGAAUGGGUGCCACUGGUGUACCGGUUGUCCGAGAGGGCAGAUGCCGGGCAGCUACGCACCACGGGGUAAGAGCUGAACGCAUCUAAGCUCGAAACCCACACGGAAAAGAAGUUCCACUGAGGACACUCGUAGAAGACGAGUUCGAUAGACUCGGGGUGUACGCAACGAGGUAACGAGUUGUUAAGCCCGCGAGCACUAACAGUCCAA
rnacentral:rRNA from 1 species